ACCAGCUGCCAUAUCCCGAGCAACUCACAGCUGGCAGCCCACUGAAGCUAAGCUAAGUGGUGUGAGCCUGGUCUGUAGCUGGGUGGGAGACCUCCUGGGAAAGCUAAGGUUGCUGCUGGAA
rnacentral:rRNA from 1 species